rnacentral:misc_RNA from 1 species
AAGAUUGUUGCACACUUGUGAACCUAUCAGGAAAAGAGGCCAAAUAAUAAUUUUUCGAUGUACUCUUUAAGAUAUACAACAACGUGAGAGCCAAUCAUCAAUUGGGGUCCUCUGAUGUACCAUAGAAAAAUAGAAGAUCCACUGUGUUUUAAAAUGGAAUGAGACGAAUCCAUGUUUGUGAGCCCUAAAAUAUUCUUUUAUAUUUUCUUUAUAUGCUUAAUCUCUUUUCAUUUAUGAAGGAAGAUGGGUAGCCUAGUUACGAUAUCGAGUCAACUAAGUUGAAUUUUCACAGUAGUACAUUUGAUGAAAUCCAUGAGAAAAUCUGGGUUACUUCUCUUUAUGAUCAUGAUUGUAUUUGUAAGAAUCACACACCACCACCUUCAUUUCUGGGUGUGACCAAUAACCUUUGGUAAUGGACAAAUCUUUUGCUUACAAGUUAUAUUUAUUUGUGCAAAUUAAACUAGAGAAGAAAAAGUUGCCAAUAAAUAUCAAGCCAAAGCUGAUUAUAUGACCAAUAGCAAUAAGAUAACAUAUGCUGUGAUAUUUUCACAGCUAAAAAGAUAUUGUAGUGCACUGUGGAAACAUAUCGAUUAAAAUUGGAUUUAUUUCCAACAGGACAAAUAAACAAGAGUGAAAGUUCGGUCUUGUUCCAACUCCUUGUUAAAUUUAUACUCCAAUGCAUUUCUGCUAUUAAAACUGCCAAUCAUGCAAAUAUUUUCUCACAGUUCAGAGAAAUACACCUUGAGUUGCACUCAAUUAUUGCAUUGCAUAUGCCCUAAAGUAAAAUAUGGCUAAUCUGGAAGUAAUUUUGCCCAAGAUAACAUCAUGAAGUGCCUUAAUCAAGAAUAAAAGAUAAAGAGUUUUC